GACGAACCGAGCGAACGUUGUUCGGAAUCACUGGGCUUAAAGGGCGCGUAGGCGGGCUGUCAAGUCUGGGGUGAAAUCCCGCGGCUCAACCGCGGAACUGCCUCAGAUACUGACGGUCUCGAGGGAGGUAGGGGCGAGCGGAACUGAUGGUGGAGCGGUGAAAUGCGUAGAUAUCAGGAGGAACACCGGUGGCGAAAGCGCUCAUCUGGCCCAAUACUGACGCUGAGGCGCGAAAGCUAGGGGAGCAAACGGG
rnacentral:rRNA from 1 species